UUUGCUUCUUGCAGUGAGAUGCUCCAUGUCCACAUACCAUUCCAACUAAUAUGCCUGCCAGAGCUCAAGCAAGGGAGCCCAAAGUAAGGAACACAGAACCUGGUGACCCGUACUACACAAGCCAAAAGCACAAGACAGUCCCAGACGAAGUUUUUGCAACAGUCUCCCAAAGACAAAAGAGGCUUGCGGUAGCAGACCAGGGCGUGGCAGCACAGCUGGAGCAGUUGGGCACAAGCGGUCAACUGAAAAGACUUGUUAAGUACAGAUGUGGAACAGCAGCUCCUGAGCACGACAAGAGGUCAAGCUGAGCCUUGCACCAGUACCAAUCUUCUAACAUGACAGCGAGCUGAACCCGGCCCCGACAUCAGUCUUCUGACCUGAGAACAAGCCAAGCCUAGCAACUGAGUCCAAUCUUCUAGCAUGCAAUCGAGUGGGAUCACCUGGAUCAACUAUCAAACAGGCUAUAAAA